AAAGAAAUAUUUUAAAAAAGCUUCUAACUUUUUAUAAAGCAUUUAUUUGUUUAU
rnacentral:tRNA from 1 species